rnacentral:rRNA from 1 species
UACGGGGGGGGCAAGCGUUGUUCGGAAUUACUGGGCGUAAAGGGCUCGUAGGCGGCCAACUAAGUCAUACGUGAAAUCCCUCGGCUUAACCGGGGAACUGCGUCUGAUACUGGAUGGCUUGAGUUCGGGAGAGGGAUGCGGAAUUCCAGGUGUAGCGGUGAAAUGCGUAGAUAUCUGGAGGAACACCGGUGGCGAAGGCGGCAUCCUGGACCGACACUGACGCUGAGGAGCGAAAGCCAGGGGAGCAA